rnacentral:rRNA from 1 species
CUUGGUGUUACUGCGAAGGGGGGACGGAGAAGGCUAUGUUGGCCGGGCGACGGUUGUCCCGGUUUAAGCGUGUAGGUGUGUGUUCCAGGUAAAUCCGGUUCACUUUAACACUGAGGCGUGACGACGAGGCACUACGGUGCUGAAGCAACAAAUGCCCUGCUUCCAGGAAAAGCCUCUAAGCAUCAGGUAACAUCAAAUCGUACCCCAAACCGACACAGGUGGUCAGGUAGAGAAUACCAAGGCGCUUGAGAGAACUCGGGUGAAGGAACUAGGCAAAAUGGUGCCGUAACU